rnacentral:rRNA from 1 species
CCUACGGGGGGCUGCAGUCGAGAAUCAUUCACAAUGGGGGAAACCCUGAUGGUGCGACGCCGCGUGGGGGAAUGAAGGUCUUGGGUUUGAAAACUCUUUUCUUGUGGGAGCAAAUUAAAAAGAUAGUACCACAAGAGGAAGAGACUGCUAACUCUGUGCCAGCAGCCGCGGUAAUACAGAGGUAUCAAGCGUUGUUCGGAAUCACUGGGCGUAAAGCGUGCGUAGGCUGUUUCGUAAGUCGGGUGUGAAAGGCGAGGGCUCAACCCGCGGACGGCACAUGAUACUGCGAGACUAGGGUGAUGGAGAGGGAACCGGAAUUCUGGGUGUAGCAGUGAAAUGCGUAGAUAUAGGGAGGAACACUAGUGGCGAAGGCGGGUUCCUGGACAGUAACUGACGCUGAGGCACGAAGGCGAGGGGAGCGAAAGGGAUUAGAUACCCUUGUAGUC